AUGGAUGAUGCAUUGCUUGAAGUCUUCGUUGAGCAUCACAACAAGAGUGACCAUGCCCAAAAUGGAUGGAAACCACAUGUGUACACGCAUGCCAUAAGGAAUGUGAAGGACAAGUGCAAUAAGGAUAUCACAAAGGAUAACAUAAGUGGAAGGAUGAGGACUUUGGACCAUCACUAUGAGGUCGUUAGCAAAAUCCUUUCUCAAAGUGGUUUCGGCUGGGAUUGGACCAAUAAUAGGCUAUCAAUGGAUAGUGAUGAUGUUUGGGCUAAAUAUGUGGAGGCAAGCAAGGAGAUAAAAUCUUACAAGACCAAAGUAAUGAAGAACUGGGAGUCCAUAUGUAUCGUAUAUUCAAAAGAUCAUGCUAAUGGUGAGGGUGCGAAGACAGGUGCUGAGAUUGUUGCAGAGCCAUUAGGGUGGCGUUUGAAAAAUGAGAAAGAUAUACAAGUAGCGGCAAAGAGGCAGCAAACAGGCGAUGCUAUUCUUUGCAUGCUUGGAGAUAUGAAGAAGGACUUAGUUGAUGCUUUCAAGACAACCGAGCCCAUUCCACUACCAAAGGUUACCACAGCCGCUGAAAUACUUGAUGCACUUAGGUUGAUACCUGAUUUAGCUGAGCAAGAUAUGCUUCGAUGUUACGGGAAGUUGGUACUCAAUGAUCGCCUAUUUCAAGCUCUGAAGGAGCUGCCCAUUACCAUGAGGAAGACAUGGCUGCUAAUGUUUCCUUGA
rnacentral:rRNA from 1 species